UCUCGGAUUCAAAUUCCAUGACCCCAUCCCACCCAAAGUGUAAAAAUUGGGCAGGCAAUGCAGAACCUCAAACAUUCGGGCUCUUCCAAAUAAAAGUGAGAUAUGAGUGGUUGAUUGCAUGGUGUUUUGUUCGGAGCAAGAGGCAUAAAUAAGCGUGGUAUACCGAAAAUCAAAGCCACUUUCAAAUUAUUUAUGAUCGUUCGCGUUCAGAAUGGCUACUCCGGGGUAGAAAGGAAAGCGAAAAAGAUCAAUUGUUGAUCAGUCAGAACAACAAGAACGAGACGUUGCGUCGUUUAAGGAAACAACCUCUUGAUUAUGAAACUUAUGUACAAUGACAUCACCAUAAUUUGUUUAUUUUUGUGCAAAUACAUUCAUCUAAAAAU